GUCGAGAAUAGUCUACAAUGGACGAAAGUCUGAUAGUGCGACGCCGCGUGAACGAAGAAGCCCUUCGGGGUGUAAAGUUCUUUUAUAUGUGAGCAAUGCUUUUUAUGUGAACAGCAUGAGAAGAGAGAUAUUAGCAUAUGAAUAAGCAACGGCUAACUCCGUGCCAGCAGCCGCGGUAACACGGGGGUUGCUAGCGUUGUCCGGAAUUACUAGGCGUAAAGGGCAGGUAGGCGGAUAGAUAAGUUUGAUGUUUAAGGCAGCGGCUCACCCGCUGUAAGGCAUUAGAUACUGUUUAUCUGGAAUGCGGUUGGGGAAGACAGAAUUCCUGGUGUAGCGGUGGAAUGCGCAGAGAUCAGGAGGAAUACCGAAGGCGAAGGCAGUCUUCUAAGCCGUAAUUGACGCUAAACUGCGAAGGUGUGGGUAUCAAACAGGAUUAGAAACCCCGGUAGUCC
rnacentral:rRNA from 1 species